GAAAUGCGAUACGUAAUGCGAAUUGCAGAAUUCAGUGAAUCAUCGAAUCUUUGAACGCAAAUUGCGCUCUCGGGUUACCCCCAAGAGCACACCUCUCUGAGUGUCGGUUUAACCAAAUGUCACCAAUUUAUUGGUGUACGACAGACUGAGGGUAAGGGGUUUCGGCCUCUUUCCCUUUAAAUCUCAGCCGCACGACUGUGUGUGUUCGUGGCAAGUUGCUUUCACUUAACUGUGAAUACAAUCCACAAACCCUAUGUUGUGUAGCCAAAAGAAACAAAUGAACAAAGACGCGAACUUCGAAGCAUGCUUUUACGAGUAUGUUUUUGGGCAAACGGCUUUGUGCAUCUAUGAAUUAGACCUCAGAUGAAGUGGGAAGACCCCCUGAAUUUAA
rnacentral:misc_RNA from 1 species